AACUUCAUUUCUCUUCUUCCCCUUUCUCCACUCAGCAGCGGCACAGCAGCAGUGUUGCUCAUGGCGACGGCGGUGGGCGAGCCGCAGGCCAGGCUCUCGCCCCUCUCCUUUCUCUAUCGCUUCCCUGCUGUGCUAGUGGCCCGAGGCCGGAGAAUGGAUGACGGUGCGGCCAUGAGGCCUCUCGCUGGUGCGCGUGCUCGCCCCCGGCUCAGCACGCCACCGUCGAGCGGCCGUGGGGCCGUGCCCUAAGCCCCAGCCAGUCCGUCGAUGGUGGCUCCGAAUAAAAGGUCGUUGGGUUGCAGAUCUACAUUCUUUAGCAUGAUGCAUGGUUAUAUCAAGUGUGCUAGCUGGAGGUGGUGGGAGCCCUUCUGCUUUGGUGCCUGUUCGUCGACGAACACCAACGAGGUAGAGAUGGAGUGCAAGGUGAAUCAGUUUUACUAUUGGUUGAACAAGAGAAAAAAUUUCGAGUG